rnacentral:rRNA from 1 species
GAGUAACGCGUGGGAAUCUGCCCUGGAGUGGGGAACAACAGUUGGAAACGACUGCUAAUACCGCAUACGCCCCACGGGGGAAAGAGGGCCUCUUCUUGAAAGCUCUCACUAUUGGAGGAGCCUGCGUUGGAUUAGCUAGUUGGUGGGGUAAAGGCCUACCAAGGCGACGAUCCAUAGCUGGUCUGAGAGGACGAUCAGCCACACUGGAACUGAGACACGGUCCAGACUCC